GAUGAACGCUGGCGGCGUGCCUAAUACAUGCAAGUCGAGCGAACAGACGAGAGUGCUUGCACUCUCUGACGUUAGCGGCGGACGGGUGAGUAACACGUGGGUAACCUACCUAUAAGACUGGGAUAACUUCGGGAAACCGAAGCUAAUACCGGAUAAUAUUUAGCUUCGCAUAAAGCAAUAGUGAAAGACGGUUCUGCUGUCACUUAUAGAUGGACCCGCGGUGUAUUAGCUGGUUGGUGAGGUAACGGCUCACCAAGGCAACGAUACAUAGCCGACCUGAGAGGGUGAUCGGCCACACUGGGACUGAGACACGGCCCAGACUCCUACGGGAGGCAGCAGUAGGGAAUCUUCCGCAAUGGACGAAAGUCUGACGGAGCAAUGCCGCGUGAGUGAAGAAGGUUUUCGGAUCGUAAAACUCUGUUGUAAGGGAAGAACAAGUACGUUAGUAACUGAACGUACCUUGACGGUACCUUACCAGAAAGCCACGGCUAACUACGUG
rnacentral:rRNA from 1 species